rnacentral:rRNA from 1 species
AAACUGUAUUAUUAUUUGACGUUCGAGGGAUGUUUCAAUGUUAUAAGGAUAGACAUUGGAAAUGUUAACCGAGUCAUAAUCAGGUUUAGGCCUGGUAUCCUAUUAUUAUUUACCAAAUGAAUUCAGAAUUAAUAUUGUAACAUAGACUUAAAAAAUCUAUAAAACAACUUUUAACAACGGAUCUCUUGGUUCUCGCAUCGAUGAAGAACGUAGCAAAGUGCGAUAACUAGUGUGAAUUGCAUAUUCAGUGAAUCAUCGAGUCUUUGAACGCAACUUGCGCUCAUUGGUAUUCCAAUGAGCACACCUGUUUCAGUAUCAAAACAAACCCUCUAUCCAACUUUUGUUGAAUAGGAUUAUUGGGGGCCUCUCGAUCUGUAUUGAUCUUGAAACCCUUGAAAUAUACUAAGGCCUGAACUUGUUUAAUGCCUGAACUUUUUUUUAAUAUAAAGGAAAGCUCUUGUAAUUGACUUUGAUGGGGCCUCCCAAAUAAAUCUCUUUAAAUUUGAUCUGAAAUCAGGUGGGAUUACCCGCUGAACUUAAGCAUAUCAAUACGC